rnacentral:rRNA from 1 species
GACGAACGCUGGCGGCGUGCUUAACACAUGCAAGUCGAACGGAGUGGCGAAAGGGUGAGUAACACGUGGGUGAUCUGCCUUGCACUACGGGAUAAGCUUGGGGAACUGGGUCUAAUACCGGAUAGUGCAAGACGAGCUCGCGGCCUAUCAGCUGGUUGGUGGGGUACUGGCCUACCAAGGCGUCGAAGGGUAGCCGGCCUGGGAGGGUGUACGGCCACAUUGGGACUGAGAUACGGCCCAGACUCCUACGGGGGGCAGCAGUGGGGAAUAGUGCACAAUGGGCGGAGGCCUGAUGCAGGGACGCCGCGUGGGGGAUGAAGGCCUUCGGGUUGUAAGCUCCUUACGACAGGGACGCGGUACCUGUAUAAGAGGCACCGGCUAACUACGUGCCAGCAGCCGCGGUAAUAC